GCCCAGAACAUCCACAGCUACAUUGAAUCAGCCUUAAAUGUUGCCGCUGACAGCAAUGAGGCUAAGGCCUGGACCCAUCUAUUGAGUGCCUUCAACAAAAUCCAAGAGUUCAAUUCUAUUGCAAAGAUUGGACUUUCAGAUACUGACAAGCAAGCUUUGGUCAGUUCCUGGAACACACUGAUCUCUGCUGGUAAAGAAAGUGCUGGAGUCAACUUGGUCCUCUGG
rnacentral:sRNA from 1 species